ACAGCAGUAGCCGCGGUAAAACGGAGGGAGUUAGCGUUGUUCGGAAUUACUGGGCGUAAAGCGCACGUAGGCGGCUUUGUAAGUCAGAGGUGAAAGCCUGGAGCUCAACUCCAGAACUGCCUUUGAGACUGCAUCGCUUGAAUCCAGGGGAGGUGAGUGGAAUUCCGAGUGUAGAGGUGAAAUUCGUAGAUAUUCGGAAGAACACCAGUGGCGAAGGCGGCUCACUGGACUGGUAUUGACGCUGAGGUGCGAAAGCGUGGGGAGCAAACAGGAUUAGAUACCCCCGUAGUCCCUGUCUCUUAUAC
rnacentral:rRNA from 1 species